GUCCGAAGCCGACAGCAGCCAACCAGGUGGCUUCAGCUUGGCGCUUCCUUUUCUCGGCCGUGAGGGCGCUCUGCGCAGGUGGCGGGGUUAACCGUCUGUGAUGUCAAGUGCACCCUGGUGCUGGAACCUUUUUCUUUUCUUUCUUUAGGCAAGCUCUGCUGAAUUAAGUUUUGUAAUUUUUUUUUUUUUUAAACAAUUCCCAUCUAGGAACCAGCUGUGCGAACCUGCCUGCGUUCCUUCUGGCAUUUGGGGGAACUCAGACACUAUUUUCUGAUCAUCUUUGCGCCAUCCAGGUGUACCCAGAAACACAGACGAAGCUGCCUUGGUAGAUGCUGGACUUGAAGUGGUCAGAGACAAGAUCACUAGGCCCAUCUGGUGGAAGAGUGUCCUGUUUUGACUAUGAACCUGAGACUGACAGAGUAAUUACUGCAACCAGACCUCAUUCUGCCUCUGGAGAGAACCAGUGGAGCAGGAAGUGAUAUUUGGAGACACUGAGUGACUUGACUAAGUCAUAGACCUAGAAUGUGGAAAGUUUCACUCCAGGGACCACAGCAUACAAAAGAAAUUUGUGCACCUUAUGAAGUUUUUCUUGAUGUUGGAGAUAGAACCCACUGGGAGGAAGAACAGAUGCCGGCUCCCUUCCCUGUGCCCCACCACAGCACAGAGAGAAGACAGGACCUAGAGGAGAAGAGCAUGGAUCAGGAAGCAGUGGACAUCUCUGUGGGAAGAGCCCUAGCACACAGCAGACGCGGUCAUGACAAAUGCCUUUUCCUCCACGUGGAAUGAACUGUUUCUUUGGGAAAAGAUUUCCUAACAGCAAACAAGUGAGAGACAUGAUGUUAUUCACAGACUACAGACUUCUCUGAGGACAGCGGUGCCCGUGACUGUGGACAUGGCGGCCCAGGACACCUGCUGCCCUAGGCCUGUGCUGGCAGGGGCUGGUGAGUGGUGCAGACAGCUGGGCAGCAGGGCCUGGUUGCUCUCCUUGUCUCUGAUUCAUCUCUUCUUGGUCCGAAGGCUGUGGUCCUCAGGCCAGCUUGAUGACCACAGGCCAAAUUACACAUCAGUCCUCUUUGCUCUGGGUGGAUUGCCCUUAUGGGAGUAUCCAUCAGCUAGGUUCUGGAGUUUUUCUUGUGCAAAUUAUCCUUUGAGGUAGAAAGUGCAUGCUGAAGGCCCAUUUUCUCCUCUAGGAUCCAUGCAACAAUGGUUAUGAGUAUCUGGCAUCAGCUGCCCCCUGUCUGUAAACUUUGUGCUUGUUGCUGACAUCAGCACUGGGAAAUGGCUGAUGGGGUUUUUUUUUCACAAAAUGUGCCUUCCCUUUACCUUCAUUGGGGAGUAUGGUCUUUAGACAGUUCCUUAUCCUGUUCCUGAAGUGCAUCACUGAAGGAGCCUGUCCUUUCUCUGGAGGGAGGCUCAGAGGACAUGUCCCCACAGUGUCUCCUAUUUCCUUGACCUGGGCAGGAGGCACACCCACCAGCAUGGAAGGGCUUCCCUCCUGAACACCGUCCUUCCUGUGUUCCUGACCUGGGCCCACGCGGCCCUCUCUCUUGUCAGUGGGACCAACCAUGUUCCUCUUGUCCUUCCAUGGGUCCUGCAAGUUUGGGAUCUUGGGCUCCUGCAGGUCCUGGCUGCUCCUUUUGCUGAUUAGGAGAAGGCGUGUCCCCUGGG